rnacentral:rRNA from 1 species
UACGUAGGGUCCGAGCGUUGUCCGGAAUUACUGGGCGUAAAGAGCUCGUAGGUGGUUUGUCGCGUUGUUCGUGAAAACUCACAGCUCAACUGUGGGCGUGCGGGCGAUACGGGCAGACUAGAGUACGGUAGGGGAGAUUGGAAUUCCUGGUGUAGCGGUGGAAUGCGCAGAUAUCAGGAGGAACACCGAUGGCGAAGGCAGAUCUCUGGGCCGUAACUGACGCUGAGGAGCGAAAGCGUGGGGAGCGAACAGG